ensembl:lncRNA
GAAGUUGUUUGGCCAUCUAAAGCAGGAUUUCCCAUAAUCUGUGGAAGGACAAUAGAUGAAAAGAGGGUCAAAUACACACUUGUGAUUCAUUCAGCACACACACAUGUGACAUCUUUUGCCAACGGCAACCUGUUGCUGCUCUUAAGCACUACCUCAUCCUGGCAUCUCUCUCUCGUGUCGUGUUGACUCUCUCUCUAACCUGAUCUCCAGAUGUUAUCAUACUCAGAGUGCACUGUUACUGUCCACAGCUGGCCACCUACCACACUCAACUACCAAUUAUAGAUCCUCUUGAGGAAAAAAAACAGCCGUUUUAGCUUACCGCCUCUAUGGAUGAUUGCCCAAACAAUGCAUGCGUUUCUGCCUGUACAGAAGGUUUGUAAAACUAGAGAGCAAUAUCUUCCCUCGGCACAAUACUCUGAAGCACAGAGAAGAUUUAAUCACUCUGUGACUUUGGACAUUUCCAAUCAAUUACAAUGCCUUUUUUUGAUCAAAUUUAAUUAAUGGAUUGCAAUUACCUGAGCUGAAAUUAGUAGCAUUUAAAUGCAUCCAUUUACUUGAUUAAAGUUAGAUGAUGAGAGAAAGAGAGAAAGAAGUAAGCUAAGCCUGGAGGAACUGAGAAGAACAGAAAGAAAAGGAGAGGGGAGUUGGGUGUCAGGUGCACACAGUAAAGCAAGCUACAAAAAGCCACAGGUAAAUAAAUGACAAGGGACCGUCGUGUCACUUCCUGUCGGUUGAGCUCGGCUGAAUAUCGUGUAAGGCUCAGUCAUCACACGAUCUCGGAUUCUCACCGAACAGCGCAGUCUGGUUAUGUCACUCAAAAAUGCUGUUCUCAUUCUCCCUCUGCUAUGUUCGUCAUGUUUUCUGGUCCAAACCAGCCAAAGACUGGGUGGGAUGAAACUAUCCAGAAGGCUUCAGAAAUGAAUGAAAGAGGUUUCUGUCAAGUCCUGCUAUCAGUAACUGUGGGUGUUUGGGACUUUGUCAUAUUUUAGAAAAGCUACUGGCCUAAAAUAACCUUUACAGAGCAGUUUUACAUUAGCAUUAAUAUAUUUUAUUAUUAUUUUAUUAUUAUUAUUACAUCCACAAUUACGGACUACAUAAGUAGUCAAAUAUGUGUUCCACGCAAUCUUUAAAAUUCUUAAAAUGUUCUUCAAAACUGUGCCUCUGCAGAGCUCUCUCUCUCUCUCUUUUGCCCUCAUUUCUCAUCCCUCUGUCCAUCUCUCCCUCGUUAUUUAUUCAGUAAAAUGGGAGAUUGAUCAGAUAAUUGCAUUAGGAGGGGCAGAUUGGUCAUAAUCAUGGUGGUAUUGGCAGCUCGGGGCUGGAGGCUCAGCACUGACAUUAACUCAGACUCAGCAGUCAGAGGUCAGCACCGCUGAGAUUAAACUCUUCUCUUUCUGUGGUCAGCAUGGUUUGGGCCAUUUUACAGCCUCACAUCACCCCAACUGACCCCUUGAUGACCACUUGACAAAAUGGAGGGGAGGGUGAGGACAAAAGAGAGCUGACCAAGGAGGAUGAGCGGUGGGAUGAAAGGAGGAGGGAGAGGUAACUGAGAGGAGAGGGGGGAUGUGAAGAAAAAAAAAUCACACAAAGGCCAAUGCAAUAUACCGAAAGUGUGAGGUGCAAUAUAUCGAAAGUGUACUUUGCUCAAAUUAAUUCCAUACAUGUAUACAUAUCACACAAAGUUAAUUUUCGUUACAUAAUUUAUUUUAUUUUAUUUUAUUAUGAAAUAAAACAAAGUUAAAUGCUGUCCA